rnacentral:rRNA from 1 species
AUGGUGCGCGCGCUCCGGCCUUCUUCCCUCGUCGGCCCGUCCUUCUUCUACGCUCUGCUGCUGCUCGUGGUGGCCGCGCUCGUCGGGCAGCACCCAGCGGGCCCGCUGCGGGUGGCGACGGCGCAGAGCGUGUCGGCGCUGGCGCCGGUGCCGGUGCGCGUCGGGGUGAUCCUGGACUGGGCGACCAAGGCGUCGUCGGCGGUGUCGCUGCGGCGGCGGACCGGCAUUCAGAUGGCGGUGGAGGACUACUACGCGGCGCACCCGGGGUCGGCCACCAGGGUGGAGCUCCAUUUCGGGGACUCCAAAGGGGACGUCGUCGGCGCCGCUUCCGCCGCGUUGGACCUGAUCAAGAACGCGCAGGUGCAGGCCAUCAUCGGGCCCAAGACAUCAGCAGAGGCAGAGUUUGUGGCACAUAUCGGCAGCCGCGCUCACGUCCCCGUGCUCUCCUACUCCGCCACGUCCCCGUCCCUCUCCCCGGCGCAGACGCCCUACUUCGUGCGCACCGCCGCCAAAGACUCCUUGCAGGCCACCCCCGUCGCCACUGUCCUAGCACACUUCGGAUGGCGCGCGGCCGUCGUCCUGCACGAGGACUCGCCCUACGGCACCGGCAUCCUCCCGGCGCUCGCCGACGCGCUCCAGAGCGUCGACAGCGCGGCGAUCGUGGAACGCGUGGCCGUGCCGAGCGGCGCGCACGACAACGCCCUCGACGCGCUCCUCUACCGCCUCAAGGCGAUGCCGACGCGCGUGUUCGUCGUGCAUGCCAAUUUCCGCCUGGCCACGCGGCUCUUCCGGCGAGCGGAGGAGGCCGGGAUGAUGUCCGAUGGCUACGCCUGGGUCGUCACAGAUGGCGUCGGAAGCCUCGUGGACAGGCUCAGCCCCGAGGACGUCGACGCCAUGCAAGGCGUCGUCAGCCUCCGGCCUCACGUGGAGCUCACGAGCCAGGUGAAGAACUUCUCGGCGCGGUUCAGGGCGAGGUUCCGACGAGGCAACCCGGCCUCCGACGACGACGUGAUCAAUGACCCGACCGUGACGAGGCUCUGGUCGUACGACACGGCGUGGGCGAUCGCGGCGGCAGCCGAGGCGGCGAGUGUCCCCGGCCCGGCAUUUCAGACGCCGCAGCGUAGCAGGGCCCUUACAGACCUGGACCGGCUCGGCGUGUCGGCCACCGGAGCAGCGCUUCUCAGAGCGGUGGUCAACACAACGUUCGACGGGAUGGCCGGCAGGUUCAAGCUUGUGAACGGGCAGCUGCAGGUGGCGGCGUACGAGGUCGUGAACAUCAUCGGGAACGGCGCCAGGACGGUGGGGUUUUGGACGCCGGAGUCCGGCAUCCUGCGGGACCUGAACAACGGUGGCGGCAAGGCUGCGCGGCAGCUGAAACCCAUCCUCUGGCCGGGCGAGGCGCUGUCCAAGCCGAGAGGCUGGACCGAGUCGCCGAACGGACGGGUGCUCAACGUCGCCGUGCCGAUGAAGAACGGGUUCAAGCAGUUCGUGGACGUCGUCGGGGAGAAGAACUCGACGACGCCGAAGGUCACCGGGUACUGCAUCGACGUGUUCGAAGCGGUGAUGAAGAACCUGCCGUACCCGGUGAACUACCGGUACGUGCCGUUCCCCCGAAGCCCGGAUUCCUACGAGAAGCUGGUGGACCAGGUGAGCGGCGGGGAGGCAGACAUUGCGGUCGGGGACGUGACGAUCACGGCGAGCAGGAUGCACGAGGCGGACUUCACGAUGCCGUUCACGGAGUCCGGGUGGGCGAUGGUUGUGGCGACGCGGCCGGACACGAGCGCCAGCAUGUGGAUCUUCCUGCAGCCGCUCACCACCAGCCUCUGGCUCGCCAGCCUCGCCUUCUUCUGCUUCACCGGCUUCGUGGUGUGGGUCAUCGAGCACCGCGUCAACCCGGAGUUCCGCGGCACGCCGUCGCAGCAGUUCGGCCUCAUCUUCUACUUCUCCUUCUCAACGCUCGUCUUCGCACACAAGGAGAAGCUGGAGAGCAACCUGUCGAGGUUGGUGGUGAUCAUAUGGGUGUUCGUGGUGCUGAUCCUGACGUCAAGCUACACGGCGAGCCUGACGUCGAUGCUGACGGUCCAGCAGCUCCGGCCGACGGUGACCGACGUGAAGGAGCUGCAGAGGCGCGGCCAACACAUCGGGUACCAGGAGGGGAGCUUCAUCGAGCCCUUACUCACGAAGAUGGGCUUCGACGGGAGGAAGAUGAAGAAGUACAGCACGCUGGAGCAGUACGCCGACGCGCUGUCCAAUGGCUCGGCGAACGGCGGCGUGGACGCGGUGUUCGACGAGAUCCCGUACCUGAAGCUGUUCCUGUCGCAGCACUGCGACGGGUACAUGCAGGUGGGGCCCGUCUACAAGACCGACGGCUUCGGGUUCGUGUUCCCGCGCGGGUCGCCCAUGGUGGGCGACGUGUCGCGGGAGAUCCUGAGGCUGGCGGAGGGCGACCAGAUGGCGCGGAUAGAGAAGGCGUGGUUCGGCGAGCCCGGCACGUGCCGGGACGCGCUGGGCGGCAUCGGCGGCGGCGACGGCUCGUCCAACCUCAGCUUCCGGAGCUUCGGAGGGCUGUUCCUCAUCACCGGCGUCGUCUCCAGCCUCAUGCUGCUGCUUUACGUCGCCAUCUUCAUGUACCGCGAGCGCGACGAGCUCCGGGAGGCGGAGGCGGAGGCCAAGGCCGAGGCCGGCUCCGGGAGCGUGCCCGUGCGGAGGCUGCGCGUAUUGCUGCAGCACUACGACAAGAGGGACAUCAAGUCCCCCACCUUCAGGACGUGGAACGACGACUCCGUCAGGAACGGCAGCGACUACGCGGGCAGGACGCCGAGAUGGAGCGGCGGCGACGCGAGCCUGACGCCGAGGGCCGGUGGGGAGGAACACGCCAUGGGACGGGCGAGCCCGCUGAGCGUGGACAUCAGCUCGGAGAUGAAUGCUGGCUCUUCGCCGGAGGGGACGCCGGUGUCGGAGAUCAGUGAAUCAUUUGAGCAGAGGAUGGAGGGGGCAGCAGCCGCCGUGGAGAUGACAAGGCCAACUGUCUCUCAACUGCAGUAA